rnacentral:rRNA from 1 species
AACGAACGUUGGCGGCGUGGAUUAGGCAUGCAAGUCGAACGAGAAAGGUUUCGCAAGAGACCUAGUAAAGUGGCGGAAGGGCGAGUAAUGCAUAGAUAACCUACCCCUAAAAUAGGGGAGUAACCUCUCGAAAGGGAGACUAAUACCCAAUAAGACCACGAGUCGCAUGACCUGUGCUCAAAGAUGGGGACCCGCAAGGGCCUUUCGUUUAGGG